GCAAUGGACAUUACACAGGUAGAAAUCUGUCCUUUGGUCUGAUGAGUCUAAAUUUAAGAUUUUUGGUUUCAACCGAAGUGUUUUUGUGAGAGGCAGAGUAGAUGAACGGAUGAUCUCUGCAUGUGUGGUUCCCUCUGUGGAGGUUCGAUGGUGCUUUGCUGGUGACACUGUCAGUGAUUUAUGUAGAAUUCAUGGCACACUUAACAAGCAUGGCUACCACAGCAUUCUACAGCAAUACGCCUUCCCAUCUGGUUUUCGUUUAGUAGGACUAUAAUUUAUUUUUCAACAGGACAAUGACCCAAAACACACCUCCAGGCUGUGAUGGAGUGCUGCAUCAGAUGACCUGGCCUCCACAAUCACAUGACCUCAACCAAAUUGAGAUUGUGAGGUGGAUUGGACCGCAGAGUGAAGGAAAAGCAGCCCAAAAGUGCUCAACAUUUGUGGGAACUCCUUCAAGACUGUUGGAAAAGCAUUCCAGGUGAAACUGGUUGAGAGAAUGCCAAGAGUGUGCCAAGGUGUCAUCAAGGCAAAAGUUGGCUAGUUUGAAGAAUCUCAAAAAAACAUUUAUUUUGAUUUGUUUAACACUUUUUUGCUUACAUGAUUCCAUGUGUUAUUUCAUAGAUUUGAUGUCUUCACUAUUAUUCUACAAUCUAGAAAAUAAUAAAAAAUGAAAACCUUUCAAUGAGUUGCUGUGUCCAAACUUUUGACUGGUACUGUGCAUUACAUCUAUUCACCUCAGACUUUGUCCCAAAAUGUAUGGUUUUACACAUUUGGCACCUACCUAACAGAUAAAUGUAGAUGUGGACAUUCUUGAAAUGGGACUCCCACUAAUGUUUAGUGACUGCUCCUUGUUAACAUACUGUAAAACUCAAAUGCUUCACUGACAAAAAAUGAGGGAAAGUCAGUUCAGUGCAGUUUAUGGCAUGAUAUUGGAGAACUCUGGUGCAGAAAUCAUGAACUCUUUGCAACGAUGCAGCCUCUGAACCAAGACUGGGCUAAAACGGAAUAUAAUGGUCUUCUAUAGUGCAUAAACACCAUGUCAGAAUACAAAUCCUUCCUUUUUUAACUCAAUGACUACGUUUCAUUACACAAACAGGUUCAUAAAAUAUUUACAUUGCCUUCUGUAAAAAACAAUCCAAAGAUGUCAUUGAAAUUGUGGUUUAAUGCCCUUUGAUGGAACGAGGCCAUUUUCCAACACAGGAAUAUUUGCCCAGCAGGAGAAAAGACAAUACACAAUGCCAAAGUAUUCAUAACCCUCCAAUUGCAGUUCACAACAUGGCAAUCCCAGAGUUGACUUGACAGGGAUUUUUCCUACACAGCUCUUCCCUUUGAUUUGACCUUCUUCCUUACUUCCACCCAGUAAGCAACUGGAGAGAUUCAUUCAUCCCCACCCAGUUGAAGCUGCUAGUCCCAGCACACAUUUACUUCGCAGGCCUUCGACUAUUAGACCUUUAUUUCUACACUGGUGUCCAAAUCAACUGAAGUCACUUGUCCAACAAGGGACACCCAACCCAAAUGACCUUAGCACAAGAGCACAUCAUAGGGCUAAACUGGCCCAAUCGAACUUUGCCGGGGUCAGUGAUAUUUUCCAAGAGGCAGACAGAAAUCCUUAAAAAUACAAAAAUGUUUAUUUCUGAAAAUGACAAAUGAAAAAAAAAAAUCUAAACCAUACAAAUUGUUGUUUGGUUAUUAGCAUACCAGGAUCUAACAAUGGAUUAAUCGGUCACUCGGGAUCAGACACUCAGAAGCAACCAAUACAUCUCCACUUCUGCACCCCUAAAUUAUAUAAAUGUAGCCAAACGUUGAGGCAAAGUAGAGGGCCAAAAGAGGGCACUAAGUGGUGUGAAAUGGCAUCCAUUCUGCACUCACAGUAUGAAGGGGACAAAAGUGUCCGAUUUAUUGGAGUUAAAAACAAAACGCAACCCAAAUAAAGUGAUGUUGACAACCAUUUGAAAUAUCAUGAAGGGGAAUUGACUGACUCUUGGCAUGAAUAUGAUGAGCACAGCAAGAUUUAGAGGGAGUUAGUUUUACUAAAUUUAACACAGGUUAGCAUUUGUCACCACAAAUCUUCUGGAGGUAGCUCUGCAGAGUGGUCACUAGCUGGCACAAAAAUCUGACUUUAAACCUAACCACAAUGCUAACCCUAAUGCAUAACCUUAAAUUAUGACCAAAAAGCUCAUUUCUGUUUUCAUGAAUACCUACAGUAUAGCCCCUUUUGACUUUUCAGCUGGCGCGUCUAAGGGGAAAUUGCAGUUCUUCCUCCAGGACAAGACUCAAGAGAAAUGUCAACAUGCAAAUUUAAUAGCUGGGCUAUCCCAAUGUUUUCUAACCUACCGUCAACUAGCUAAAACUCCAUCUGCUUCAGAAAGAUAUGAACAGAGAGAAAUGAAGAGACCACCUUGACCAAAAGCCUUGUCCCGGGCCUGUAAAAGAAGCAGUGUUGGUGGCGCUCGAUAUUGCACCUUUUCCUGUGGCAACGGAGUCAGCUGUAGGCUUUGUAAGCCCAAUCUUUAUUCUACAGGAGAUAAACAUGUAUUUCUCUUUCUUAAACUUUUAUUGUGGUUGUACAAUAUUCCCUGAUGGCCUGCUGUGGCCGAUGAGAUUUUAACAGAAUCCUGAAAGAACAUCAAAAAAUAAAAUAAUGCGAAUUAGGGGGGUGAUGGAAUUGUCCGUUGAGGGGGAACCGGGAAUCCUGUUGACUUUUUUGGUCGCUCUCCCAUGUCCCCUUCUUAAAACGUUACACACUCUGGUCACACACACACCCGCCGCUGUGCUGCUGUGGUCCCGCCAUUUGUUC
ensembl:lncRNA